rnacentral:rRNA from 1 species
AUACGUAGGUGGCGAGCGUUGUCCGGAUUUACUGGGUGUAAAGGGCGAGUAGGCGGGCUUGCAAGUCAGAUGUGGAAUACCGAGGCUCAACUUCGGGGCUGCAUUUGAAACUGCGAGUCUUGAGUGAUGGAGAGGCAGGCGGAAUUCCCCGUGUAGCGGGAAAAUGCAUAGAUAUUGGGAAGAACACCAGUGGCGAAGGCGGCCUGCUGGACAUUAACUGACGCUGAGGAGCGAAAGUGUGGGGAGCAAACAGGAUUAGAUACCCUGGUAGUCCACACCGUAAACGAUGGAUACUAGGUGUGCGGGGACUGACCCCCUGCGUGCCGCAGUUAACACAAUAAGUAUCCCACCUGGGGAGUACGAUCGCAAGAUUGAAACUCAAAUGAAUUGACGGGG